rnacentral:rRNA from 1 species
AUUGAACGCUGGCGGAAUGCUUUACACAUGCAAGUCGGGCGGCAGCGCGGGGGCAACCCUGGCGGCGAGCGGCGAACGGGUGAGUAACACAUCGGAACGUACCCUGUCGUGGGGGAUAACGAAUCGAAAGAUUCGCUAAUACCGCAUACGACCUGAGGGUGAAAGCGGGGGAUCGCAAGACCUCGCGCGAGAGGAGCGGCCGAUGGCGGAUUAGCUAGUUGGUGGGGUAAAGGCCCACCAAGGCGACGAUCCGUAGCGGGUCUGAGAGGACGGCCCGCCACACUGGGACUGAGACACGGCCCAGACUCCUACGGGAGGCAGCAGUGGGGGAAUUUUGGACAAUGGGGGCAACCCUGAUCCAGCCAUUCCGCGUGAGUGAAGAAGGCCUCGG